ACUCAGGGCCUGAUCCAAAGCCUAUUGAAGUCAAUGGAAAAACUCCCAUUGACUUCAGUGGGCUUUGGAUCUGGCUCUUUCGU
rnacentral:pre_miRNA from 1 species